rnacentral:rRNA from 1 species
GACCUGGUUGAUUCUGCCAGUAGUCA